rnacentral:rRNA from 1 species
UACGAAGGGGGCUAGCGUUGCUCGGAAUCACUGGGCGUAAAGGGUGCGUAGGCGGGUCUUUAAGUCAGGGGUGAAAUCCUGGAGCUCAACUCCAGAACUGCCUUUGAUACUGAGGAUCUUGAGUUCGGGAGAGGUGAGUGGAACUGCGAGUGUAGAGGUGAAAUUCGUAGAUAUUCGCAAGAACACCAGUGGCGAAGGCGGCUCACUGGCCCGAUACUGACGCUGAGGCGCGAAAGCGUGGGGAUCAAACAGG